CGUACACUCCUGCGGGAGGCAGCAGUGGGGAAUAUUGGACAAUGGGCGAAAGCCUGAUCCAGCAAUGCCGCGUGAGUGAUGAAGGCCUUAGGGUUGUAAAGCUCUUUUACCCGGGAUGAUAAUGACAGUACCGGGAGAAUAAGCCCCGGCUAACUCCGUGCCAGCAGCCGCGGUAAUACGGAGGGGGCUAGCGUUGUUCGGAAUUACUGGGCGUAAAGCGCGCGUAGGCGGCUUUGUAAGUUAGAGGUGAAAGCCCGGAGCUCAACUUCGGAAUUGCCUUUAAGACUGCAUCGCUAGAAUCGUGGAGAGGUGAGUGGAAUUCCGAGUGUAGAGGUGAAAUUCGUAGAUAUUCGGAAGAACACCAGUGGCGAAGGCGACUCACUGGACACGUAUUGACGCUGAGGUGCGAAAGCGUGGGGAGCAAACAGGAUUAGAAACCCCGGUAGUCCC
rnacentral:rRNA from 1 species